rnacentral:rRNA from 1 species
CAGCAGCCGCGGUAAUACAGAGGGUGCGAGCGUUAAUCGGAUUUACUGGGCGUAAAGCGUGCGUAGGCGGCUUCUUAAGUCGGAUGUGAAAUCCCCGAGCUUAACUUGGGAACUGCAUUUGAAACUGGCAAGCUAGAGUCUUGUAGAGGGGGGUAGAAUUCCAGGUGUAGCGGUGAAAUGCGUAGAGAUCUGGAGGAAUACCGGUGGCGAAGGCGGCCCCCUGGACAAAGACUGACGCUCAGGUGCGAAAGCGUGGGGAGCAAACAGGAUUAGAUACCCCAGUAGUCCCUGUCUCUUAUAC